rnacentral:rRNA from 1 species
GAUGCACGCUGGCGGCAGGCCUAACACAUGCAAGUCGAACGAGUGGCGGACGGGUGAGUAAUGUCUGGGAAACUGCCCGUUGGAGGGGGAUAACUACUGGAAACGGUAGCUAAUACCGCAUACCAUCGGAUUUGCCCAGUUGUGCUUAGCAAGGAGGUGGGGUAACGGCUCACCUAGGCGACGAUCCCUAGCUGGUCUGAGAGGAUGACCGGCAACACUGGAACUGAGACACGGUCCAGAUGCCUACGGGAGGCAGAAGUGGGGAAUAUUGGACAAUGGGCGCAAGCCUGAUGCAGACAUGCCGCGUGGAGGAAGAAGGCCUUCGGGUUGUAAAGUACGUUCAGCGAGGAGGCGUUACUCGCAGAAGAAGCACCGGCUAACUCCGUGCCAGCAGCCGCGGUAAUAC